GUGGGGAAUAUUGGGCAAUGGGGGAAACCCUGACCCAGCAACGCCGCGUGAGGGAAGAAGGAUUUCGGAUUGUAAACCUCUGUCCUUGGUGACGAAGGAAGUGACGGUAACCAAGGAGGAAGCCCCGGCUAACUACGUGCCAGCAGCCGCGGUAAUACGUAGGGGGCAAGCGUUGUCCGGAAUGACUGGGCGUAAAGGGCGUGUAGGCGGCCGAUUAAGUCUGGAGUGAAAGUCCUGCUUUCAAGGUGGGAAUUGCUUUGGAGACUGGUUGGCUUGAGUGCGGAAGAGGUAAGUGGAAUUCCCAGUGUAGCGGUGAAAUGCGUAGAGAUUGGGAGGAACACCAGUGGCGAAGGCGACUUGCUGGACAUUAACUGACGCUGAUGCGCGAAAGCGUGGGGAGCAAACAGGAUUAGAAACCCUGGUAGUCC
rnacentral:rRNA from 1 species